rnacentral:rRNA from 1 species
AUGAACGCUAGCGGCAGGCCUAACACAUGCAAGUCGAACGGCAGCACGACCUUCGGGUUGGUGGCGAGUGGCGCACGGGUGCGUAACGCGUAUACAAUCUACCUUUUACAGGGGAAUAGCCCAGAGAAAUUUGGAUUAAUACCCCAUGGUAUUAUUGAUCGGCAUCGGUCGGUAAUUAAAGAUUCAUCGGUAAAAGAUGAGUAUGCGUUCUAUUAGCUAGUAGGUGUGGUAACGGCACACCUAGGCAACGAUAGAUAGGGGCCCUGAGAGGGGGAUCCCCCACACUGGUACUGAGACACGGACCAGACUCCUACGGGAGGCAGCAGUGAGGAAUAUUGGACAAUGGGCGAGAGCCUGAUCCAGCCAUGCCGCGUGCAGGAAGACGGCCCUAUGGGUUGUAAACUGCUUUUAUACAGGAAGAAACACCCUCUCGUGAGGGGGCUUGACGGUACUGUAAGAAUAAGGAUCGGCUAACUCCGUGCCAGCAGCCGCGGUAAUACGGAGGAUCCAAGCGUUAUCCGGAAUCAUUGGGUUUAAAGGGUCCGUAGGUGGAUGAUUAAGUCAGAGGUGAAAUCCUGCAGCUCAACUGUAGAAUUGCCUUUGAUACUGGUCAUCUUGAAUUAUUAUGAAGUAGUUAGAAUAUGUAGUGUAGCGGUGAAAUGCAUAGAUAUUACAUAGAAUACCAAUUGCGAAGGCAGAUUACUAAUAAUAUAUUGACACUGAUGGACGAAAGCGUGGGGAGCGAACAGGAUUAGAUACCCUGGUAGUCCACGCCGUAAACGAUGGUUACUAGCUGUUCGAACUUCGGUUUG